rnacentral:rRNA from 1 species
CGCUUUUUAGAGUUUGGAUCUGGCUCAGAACGAACGCUGGCGGCAGGCCUAACACAUGCAAGUCGAGCGCCCCGCAAGGGGAGCGGCGGACGGGUGAGUAACGCGUGGGAACGUACCCUUUGCUACGGAAUAGCCUCGGGAAACUGGGAGUAAUACCGUAUGUGCCCUUUGGGGGAAAGAUUUAUCGGCAAAGGAUCGGCCCGCGUUGGAUUAGGUAGUUGGUGGGGUAAUGGCCUACCAAGCCGACGAUCCAUAGCUGGUUUGAGAGGAUGAUCAGCCACACUGGGACUGAGACACGGCCCAGACUCCUACGGGAGGCAGCAGUGGGGAAUCUUAGACAAUGGGCGCAAGCCUGAUCUAGCCAUGCCGCGUGAGCGAUGAAGGCCUUAGGGUUGUAAAGCUCUUUCAGUGGGGAAGAUAAUGACUGUACCCACAGAAGAAGCCCCGGCUACUCCGCAGCGUAUCGC